rnacentral:rRNA from 1 species
UACACACCGCCCGUCACACCAUGGGAGUUGGUUCGACCUUAAGCCGGUGCGCGAACUCGCAAGAGCCGCAGCCGACCACGGUCGGGUUAGCGACUGGGGUG